AUCGCUUCUCGGCCUUUUGGCUAAGAUCAAGUGUACAAUGUUCUUGGUAAGGAAAGACCCAUAACUAUCUAUACUGUUUAGUUUCUCAUAGUACAGUUUGCUCAGGUUCAUAGACCAGCAUUAACAGUCAUUUACAUGUCACAAUCUUUAUAAGGACAGAAUUAUGU
rnacentral:sRNA from 1 species